AAUGAGGUGGGAAAUUGGAGAGAUUUCAGUGGGAAAUUGGGAAGAAAUUCCCAUUUUGGGAAACGAGGUGGGAAAUCGGGGAGAAAUUCCCAAUUUGGGGAAUUCUUUGGGAAAUGGGGAUGGAAUUCUUCCCUGUGGGGCUGGGAUGGAAUUCCCGGGGAUUUGUUCCCGAUCGGAGCCCGGGGUGGGAACGGGACGAGGAUUUGGGGGCUCCAAAAUCGAGUGAGGACAAAAAAACCUUCGUCCCCCAGAAGGGAAAAUGGGGGAGCCAACCCCAAAAACCCUCAAAUCCCCCAAAUCCUUGGGCAGCCAAAAAAUGGGAAUUAAAGGUUUAAUUUCAGGUUAAUGACAUCAAACCUCCCCAAAAUGCCUGAUUAGCCCCUAAUUACCUUUCAUUAAUUACCCUGAGGCCACCCCGGAGCCGCUACAAUCCCAAAAAAUCCUCAAAUCCCCCAAAUCCUCGGGCAGCCAAAAAAUGGGAAUUAAAGGUUUAAUUUCCAGCACCAAACCUCCCCAAAGUGCCUGAUUAGCCCCUAAUUAGUUUUAAUUAAUUACCCCGGGGCCGUCUGCUCGCUGGGGCUACCACGGAGUCACUACAAUCCCAAAAAAUCCUCAAAUCCCCCAAAUCAGCCUAAAAAUUGGAAUUAAAGGGUUAAUUUCCAGCUGACACCAACACCAAACCUCCCUGAAGUGCCUGAUUAGCCCGUAAUUAGUUUUAAUUAAUUACCCCGAGGCUGUCUGCUCGCUGGGGCUACCACGGAGCCGCUACAAUCCCAAAAAAUCCUCAAAUCCCCCAAAUCCUUGGGCAGCCAAAAAAUGGGAAUUAAAGGUUUAAUUUCCAGCACCAAACCUCCCCGAAGUGCCUGAUUAGCCCCUAAUUACCUUUCAUUAAUUACCCUGAGGCCGUCAGUGCCCUGAGGCCACCCCGGAGCCGCUACAAUCCCAAAAAAUCCUCAAAUCCCCCAAAUCCUUGGGCAGCCAAAAAAUGGGAAUUAAAGGUUUAAUUUCAGGUUAAUGACACCAAAAUGCCUGAUUAGCCCCUAAUUACCUUUCAUUAAUUACCCUGAGGUCGUCAGUGCCCUGGGGCCACCCCAGAACUGCUACAAUCCCAAAAAAUCCUCAAAUCCCCCAAAUCAGCCAAAAAAUGGGAAUUAAAGGUUUAAUUUCCAGCACCAAACCUCCCCGAAGUGCCUGAUUAGCCCCUAAUUAAUUAUAAUUAAUUACCCCGGGGCCGUCUGCUCACUGGGGCUACCACGGAGCCGCUACAAUCCCAAAAAAUCCUCAAAUCCCCCAAAUCCUUGGGCAGCCAAAAAAUGGGAAUUAAAGGUGUAAUUUCAGGUUAAUGACACCAAAAUGCCUGAUUAGCCCCUAAUUACCUUUCAUUAAUUACCCUGAGGCCGUCAGUGCCGUGAGGCCACCCC